AACAGCCCAGGGGGCGGGCGUUUGAAAUCGGUGCUUUGAGUAGACCCUAAACAUCAUUUUAUACCUUCGAGAACCAAUUACUUAAUGUCUCUCCCGUCUUUUCCUUUCCCGACCCCCUCCCAGACGCCUUCAUUCCGGUACUGCGUGGACGGAAAGCCCCGGGUAGCCGACACCACGUCCCCGGCUACCGAGAGAGAAGGAGAGAGAGCGUAGAAAAGGAUUAUACCAAACGGUUUAAAUCCAACGGCUCCUGCUUGCUUAAUCUUUGAGCUAGACCCAGCAAGCCUAGAGAGUUGGGCUACGGAAAGACUAGUAUUUUCUUUUAAUUGGAUAUGAAGAAAGAACAAAUAUGUACGGGGGCAACCACGAUCUUUAUAAAGAACGUAAGUUCCAGGAAAGCAGGAGCCUUGUCUCUCUUGUUCACUGGUGUAUCCGCUGCAUAUAGAACAGUGCCUGGCACAUAAUAGGUGCUGAUACUUGAAGAAGGAAGAAGACCCUUCAAGAUGUCUGUUCAACAUUGCAUUGGAGAUUCUAGUCAGGGCAGUUAGGCAGAAAAAGAAAAGGUAUCCAAACUGGAAAGGAAAAAAUAAAACUAUCUUUAUCAACACAGCAUGAUUUUACAUAGAGAACAAAUUCAAAAAGAUCACUGGAUGUACAAGAUCAGUAUACAAAAAUCAGUUGAUUUCUAUACAUUAGCAAUGAAGACUCUGAAAAUGAAAUUAACAAAAGAAAGUAAUAUAGUCAAAGGCUACACACACAAAAAAAAAAUUAAGAAAACAUUCUACUCAUAGUGUCAUUAAAAAGAAUUAUGUGCUUAAGAAUAAAUUUAACAAAAGAAGUGAAAGACUUCCACAUUGGAAACUACAAACAUCAUUAAAGAAGAGCUAAGUAAAUGGACAGACAUUCAAUAUUCCUGCAUCAGAAGACAACAUUUUUCAGAUGGCAGUACUUCCAAUUCAUCUAAGGAUUCUUUGCAGUCCCUAUUAUAAUUCCUGCUGGCUCCCCACCUGCCAGAAAUUAAAAAUUGAUCCUAAAAUUGGUAAACAGUCUUGAAAAAAAGAACAAAAAAAUCGAAAGACUCACACUUCCCCAUUUCAAAACUUAACUGCACACCUGCAAUAAUCAAGAUAUUGCUCUACACAGGGCUAUAUAGUUUAAUGAAUAGCUAUAUACUCAAAUGGAAUAGAAGCAAUAUAAAUUUCAACAUUUCAAUUGUGAAGGAAUACUCUUUUCAAUGAAUGUUGCUGGAAUAAUGAAUAUCCACAAACAAAAAUCUGAAUCUGGAUCCUUCCCUCACCCUAUACACAAAACCAAGUCAAAAUUGAUCACAGAUCUAAUGUAAACUAAAACUAUAAAACUCUUAGAAGAAAACAUAGGAAUAUAUCUCCAUGAUUUGAGCUAGGCAAUAAUUUCUUAGAUGACACCAAAAGUACAAGCAAUAAAAGUGAUAACUUGGAUUCAUCAAAAUCCAAAACUUGUGUGCUUCAAAAGAUAUAAUUAUGAAAGUGAAAAGAUAACCCACAGACUAGGAGAAAAUAUUUGCAAAUCAUAUAUUCAAAAGGGGACUUGUCAUCAGGGCAUAUAAAAAUCUCCUGCAAUUCAGUUAUAAGAUGAAUAACAAAAAUGAGUAAGGAAUUUGAAUAGAAAUUUCUUUGAAAAAGAGAUAUGAAUGGCCAAUAAGCAUAGUAAAAAAUACUCAGCAUCAUUUGUCAUUAAGGAAGUGCAAAUCAAAAAAAAUGAGAUAUGAAUUCACAUUGACUAGAAGUGCUAGAAAAAAAGACAGUAAUAGGUGUUGGUGAGGAUGCUGAGAACUUGGAACCCUCAUCUAUGGCUGAUGGAAAUUUAAAAUGUUGCAGGCACUUUGGAAAAACAGUGUUAACAGUCUCCCAGAAUGUUAAACAGAGUUACUAUGUGACCUAGUAAUUCCACUCUAGGUAUUUAUUCAAGAAAAAUAAAAACAUAUGUCCACUCAUAGACUUGUACGUGAAUGUCCAUAACAGCAGUAUUCAUAAAAGCUAAAAGGUUAAAACAACGCAAAUGUUAUCUACUGAUGAAUGGAUAAAAUGUGGUGUAUUCAUAACAAUGGAAUAUUAUUCAACCAUAAAAGGAAACAAAAUACUGAUACAUAUUAGAACAUGAAUGAACCUCAAAAAACAUGCUGUGAAACAUGUCAAACACAAAAGACCACAUAUUAUAUGACAGAAUUUAUAUGAAAUAUCCAGAAUAGGCAAACCUGUAAAGACAGAUUAGUGGUUGCCAGGUGCUGAAGGUGGAAAUGGGCUGUGACUGCAAAUGGGCAUGAGAUUUCUUUUUUGAGUUGUGGAAAUGUUGUAAAAUUAGAUUGUGAUUGUGGUUGAACAGAUCUGUAAAUAUACCAAAAUAUAUCAUUCAACUGUGCACUUGAAAUGGGUAAAAUUUUUGUUUUGGAAAUUAUGUCUCAAUAAAGAUAUUUAAAAAACCCACAAAUAUGACAAAAUGUUAAGAGGUCAGUUCUGGCUGGUUGGAAUGCAGAGUUUUGUUAUGCGUUCUAUUUUUUCUAUUUUUAAUGUUUCUGAAAAACAAAAAAUCAAGACACUAUAAAUUCCUGGGCCCUGGUUCCAAAUGAGAUAGAUGCAUAAAUUCAUAGUCUUUUCAUUAUACUCUUACUUUUAGACACUGUCCAUUGCCUCCAUUCGCAAAAGAAAUGACAUAGAAUAUUCUCAGCAAAGCCUACCAGUUAUACACAGCAAACCCAAUAUUUAGUGGCUAACUCUGAAUCAUAAGCCAGGAAUAAGUAGAUGUAUGAGGAAAGCAUUUAAUAUAAACACAGAAACCAGAAUUUCUAGGAAGGGUAAAUCAAGAGGAAAGAGACACGAUGUAGGGAGCAAAUGAAACUUAAAAAAAAAAAAAAAUCUCUAUUAAUUCUUCAAGGGGAAGAAGAGAAAAUUUCCAGCCAUGAAAAAUAUCAGAAAUCUAUAAUCAAAGGAAUAUUCAGAGAACAAAAUUUAUGAAAAUUAGAAAAUAAUUGCUAUAAGGUUUGGAAAAUGAGAGAACAAAGAUAAGAAAAUUAGACAAUCACCCAAGAAGUUUAAUAUCUAACUAAUUGUGUUUCCAGAGAUAGAGAACUGAAAAUAUAGUGGGAAGGAAUAUAUUUUUAAAACGGAAUAGGAAAAUUUCUCAUCAACAAAGAACAUGAAUUUAUAUUAGGAGAUCUAGCACAAUCGUUGAUUAAAAAGACUUGCCAGUCAUAUCUUAAUGAAAUCUCAGAAAACGAGGAGAAAAGGAAUAAUCCUAAAAGCGUCCAGGGAGUGGAAAUAGGUUGCCCCCAAAGCACCAGAAAACAGAUUGGAUUUGGAUUUCUAGAAGCCAAAAUUCAAUGGAACAAUGUCUUCAGAAUCCUGAAGGAAAGCAUAAAGGUAGGAUAAAGACAUUUUCAGGCAGCAAAUUAUGGUAGACAGUUAUAUUUGUGACCAAUAACUUUAGAAUUCCUUUUUUAUAUUUGAGGAAAUUCCCACAUUAUGACCCCUGCCUUGCCAAGGUUGAAGCCUUAACUCAGUUAUCCAUCAUCUAUUGCAGCAAAGACAUAGGCAUAUGACCCCAGCUCUUCCAAUCAGACAUUUCCAUGGAUGAGCUCGAUUUGAAGAAACGUAUGGAAGUCGAUUUCGCCCAGGAUCUGUUCCCGGAGCAGGGUCUCGAGAGACUGAGCUUUCAGAGGUAAUAGUGGCAUAGGUUCUAGUUGGUAAUGUCUCUUGCUCAUGUUCUUUGAUACCUUUGACCAGAGGAGGUAGAGGAAUACCUUAAUAUAAAUGGAUAGAUAAUUUGGGUAUUUUUCCUGGAUGCACAGUCACCAAACCCUAUUCUCUGGUUGUCCUGGAGAUUCUGUAAGCUACUUCAUAAUCUCUAGUGAAGCUUCCAAGGAUGCUCCUCGUGGAUAUGCUCCACCAACACAAGGGAGUAACCAGGAAAGACGACUGAGACGGGGGAGCGGGUAGUUUAGGGAAUCUAACAUAAUAGAGAAGGAAAAGAAUGCCCAGGAUCACAGCGACUAGAAACCCCAGGAGGUAGGCUGUGCACCAGCCUAAAGACUAACCAGUCUAGAUUCAGUCAAGCAUAGGAAGGGCUCCAGCAAGAAUAUUCCUGAAAAGAGAAAUUGGAUUUAGUGCCUGAUGUAUUUUAUGAAUUUAGAAGAGAUUUACCCUACUGGAAAUGAAUUUGGGAAUGAAUUAGUAUAUGUAUAUAUAUAUACUAGUAUAUACAAGCAAAUGGAAUAAGGUUAUUACUAACAUAUACAAGCAAAUGGAAUAAGAUUAUUACUAACCAGAGGGUAAGUAAAAUUUUGUACGUGAAAGGCAGUGCAAUCAUGGUACACCACAUGACUCCUUUGUAUCUAUUGUUAGGUGGUAAAAUUCAGACUCGAUUUCACCGAAACUUUGAUAUAACUACAUGAGGGGAUGGGGUGGGGGAAGUCUAUGUGUGCUGGGGCAGAGCAUACAGAGCAGAACUAGAUCCAUAAUUUUAGAGUAUGUGUCCACAAUUUCUAAAACCGGAAAGUCUGCAAAUACUGGAAAAAUAAAACACAGGAAGAAGUUAAAACAUGGAAGAGCGAUUGUCUUUGAGGAGCAGAAGUGAGGGAGAUGAAGUAUAUGUGUCAGGGUUCUUUAUUUACAUACUACAGAAUUCACUCUAAAGCAAAGCUUUGUUUUGUUUUUAGUUUGUUCUUAAGUAUUAAGCACUUUAUGGGAUCUCUGAGAGCAUUCCAAGAACCAGUAUUAUAUGGUACUCAAGAAACAUAUUUAACAUUUAUUGACAAUUCAAAAUUUAUUGACAUCAGUCAAGGAGAAAUGAGGAAUGGAAUUGCAUUUUAUUAAGGCAAAAGAAAGAUAGUCUGACUUUAGUUUGUUGCUCUGGAUGGAAAAAUAAGGGACAGAUUACUAUAGAUACAGAAAGUGAUGCAAGGUUGUGUGAGAAGCGGACACUGAGGAAAAAAUUUUGUACAUUUGUGGGGACUAAGUUUAGAAUAAAUUUAAUUAAGUUAAAAAAUUUAUUGGCAAUACAAUUCAUGUAUGUUAGAAUUGCCUUAAAAUUUGAGUGACAAUUAUUUUAUGUCACAAUGGAAUCAUAAGGUGACACUUAAGUUGCUGUUUUAAAGGCCAAACCCUCAUCUUUGUCAUGAUUUAAUCUGUGCUGUGCAACUGUGUUGAGAUUUAACAUGUCUUUCUUCUCUAUAUCUAAACUUUUAGAUGUUCCCAAGGAGGGACUCCAUGCCAAAUAUUGGCAUUUAAGAUAAAAAGCAUCCAGGAAUAGGUAACUUUUAAUCUUUUCUUUUCCAUGCAGCUUCUCAAGAAGGGAAUUUUGAAGCUUGUGGCGCAGAAACAUGCAGGUAUCUUAGAGAAAGAAGCAAGCAUAUUUCAUAGAAGGGAUUUAGUACAUUUGACAAGUGCUCUUUAGAGGUGAAAGCCAGCCAUCAAGCAAAACAUUUUGGAGAGCUCCCACAUCAACAGUUUGUUUUAAGUACCAAAUAAAUGGCCCAGGCAAACAGAGAACAAAAUCCUCAUGAAGGCCUAGGGUUGGUAAGGAAC